GAUGAACGCUGGCGGCGUGCCUAAUACAUGCAAGUCGAGCGAAUAGACGAGGAGCUUGCUCCUUUGACGUUAGCGGCGGACGGGUGAGUAACACGUGGGUAACCUACCUAUAAGACUGGGAUAACUUCGGGAAACCGGAGCUAAUACCGGAUAAUAUUUCAAACCGCAUGGUUCGAUAGUGAAAGAUGGCUCUGCUAUCACUUAUAGAUGGACCUGCGCCGUAUUAGCUAGUUGGUAAGGUAACGGCUUACCAAGGCAACGAUCCGUAGCCGACCUGAGAGGGUGAUCGGCCACACUGGAACUGAGACACGGUCCAGACUCCUACGGGAGGCAGCAGUAGGGAAUCUUCCGCAAUGGGCGAAAGCCUGACGGAGCAACGCCGCGUGAGUGAUGAAGGUCUUCGGAUCGUAAAACUCUGUUAUUAGGGAAGAACAAACGUGUAAGUAACUGUGCACGUCUUGACGGUACCUAAUCAGAAAGCCACGGCUAACUACGUG
rnacentral:rRNA from 1 species